UACGUAGGGAGCAAGCGUUGUCCGGAAUCAUUGGGCGUAAGGCGCGCGUAGGCGGCCCCGUAAGUCCGCUGUGAAAGUCAAAGGCUCAACCUUUGAAAGCCGGUGGAUACUGUGGGGCUAGAGUCCGGAAGAGGCGAGUGGAAUUCCUGGUGUAGCGGUGGAAUGCGCAGAUAUCAGGAGGAACACCAAUAGCGAAGGCAGCGCGCUGGGACGGUACUGACGCUAAGGCGCGAAAGCGUGGGGAGCGAACAGG
rnacentral:rRNA from 1 species